rnacentral:lncRNA from 1 species
GCAGUGGAUGAAGUUGCUUCUGUAGUAGUUGGAGCUUCAGUAGUGGGAGCUGCAGUAGUUUGAGGGGGAGCCUUUACUGGCAUGAAAGGGUUUCUGUAUCCUGGGUACAUGAGGUAAGAGUGCAUCAAUUCUUGCUGCUGCUGCUGUUGCUUCAACUGUUGCUGCUGCUGCAUCAACUGUUGCUCUUGUGGGGGAAGCUUAGAGGCAGUGGAUGAAGUUGCUUCUGUAGUAGUGGGAGCUGCAGUAGUUUGAGGGGGAGCCUUUACUGGCAUGAAAGGGUUUCUGUAUCCUGGGCACAUGAGGUAAGAGUGCAUCAAUUCUUGCUGCUGCUGCAGCUUCAACUGCUGCUGCUGCUGCUGCUGCUGCUGCUGCUGCUGCUGCUGCAUCAACUGUUGAUGCUGCUGCUCCUCUUGUGGGGGAAGCUUAGAUGCAGUGGAUGA